CAAGCAAGAAGCCUUUGAAUCUGUUAGACUGGCAUGCAGAAGGUCCCAGUUGCAAGAGGAAGAAGAGGUGGUACCUACAUCCACUAGAAGAGGAAAUUCAGUGCAGGACCUGAGGACACCCACUGAUGCUGAAAGACUAAACUCCCAGUGGAUAAAAGGGAAGGACAGGAUCCCCAGCGUGGCACGCCGGGAACGAUGCUCCCAGUGACCUCCUCUGCAUGUCCAAGCUCAUGGGCUCCUCCAGGAAUAACUCUGUGUUGACAUGGCUUCCCUUCCCAAAUCCCACUGCAUUUUCUUUGGCUCCACACCAAGGCCUGUUCCACCUCU